AGAGUGGGAUGAGGUGGAGAAGUAUUUAUCUGGGUUUACUAAGGUAGAUGAUAAUCGGUACUCAAUGAAAAUAUUUUUUGAGAUCCGAAAACAGAAGUAUCUGGAAGCACUUGAUAGGCAUGAUCAGGCUAAGGCUGUGGAGAUUCUAGUGAAAGAUCUGAAAGUGUUUUCCACAUUUAAUGAAGAGUUGUUCAAGGAGAUAACGCUCCUCUUGACAUUGCAGAAUUUUAGGGAGAAUGAACAGCUUUCAAAGUAUGGAGAUACCAAGUCUGCUAGGGCGAUAAUGCUUGUUGAGUUAAAAAAAUUGAUCGAGGCCAAUCCUCUUUUCCGCGAGAAGCUUCAGUUUCCUAGCUUAAAGAACUCAAGGCUGCGGACAUUGAUAAACCAGAGUUUAAAUUGGCAGCAUCAG
rnacentral:misc_RNA from 1 species